AAUUUGCAUAAUUUCAACUCCAGUGUUACAUGAAAGUUAUGUGGUGUUUGGAAGGAUGCCUUUUUCUUUGUUUUUUAGCAAAGGAGUCUUUUAAAUCAUUUGUAUACAAAAGGAAUUAGGAUCCAAAUGCUGUUACUGAUACAGGUUUGAUGCUUCAAAUGUGGCUUUUCCCUCCCUUAGGGGUAUAGAACAGGCUAUGCUUACAGGCAUCCUCUCAUUCGAGAGAAGCCUAGGCACAAGAGUGAUGUGGAAAUCCCAGCAACUGUGACUGCUUUUUCCUUUGAAGACGAUACAGUGCCACUCUCUCCUCUCAAAUACAUGGCACAGAGGCAACAGCGUGAAAAAACAAGAUGGCUGAACUCACCAAAUACUUACAUGAAAGUGAAUGUGCCUGAGGAGUCUCGGAACGGAGAAACCAGUCCCCGAACCAAAAUCACGUGGAUGAAAGCAGAAGACUCAUCUAAAGUUAGUGGUGGAACACCUAUCAAAAUUGAAGAUCCAAAUCAGUUUGUUCCUUUAAACACAAACCCGAAUGAGGUACUAGAAAAGAGAAAUAAGAUUCGGGAACAAAAUCGAUAUGACUUGAAAACAGCAGGACCACAAUCUCAGUUGCUUGCUGGAAUUGUUGUGGAUAAGCCACCUUCUACUAUGCAAUUUGAAGAUGAUGAUCAU
rnacentral:sRNA from 1 species